AUAGUGUCCCUCCGUCUUAAAAUUCUUAUUUUAUAUUUGUCUAAAUACCCAUAUACCUAGUUACGUUUUAGUGUUAAAUACAUUAAUAUUUAGACAAUUUUAAGACAAGAAUUUUGAGACGAAGGGAGUAAUAG
rnacentral:pre_miRNA from 1 species